UGCAGGGCUCAAAUCCUGGAGAGGCUGU
rnacentral:piRNA from 1 species